rnacentral:rRNA from 1 species
GAUGAACGCUGGCGGCGUGCCUAAUACAUGCAAGUCGAGCGAACAGACGAGAGUGCUUGCCCUCUCUGCCGUUAGCGGCGGACGGGUGAGUAACACGUGGGUAACCUACCUAUAAGACUGGGAUAACUUCGGGAAACCGGAGCUAAUACCGGAUAAUAUUUAGCUUCGCAUGAAGCAAUAGUGAAAGACGGUUCUGCUGUCACUUAUAGAUGGACCCGCGGUGUAUUAGCUAGUUGGUGAGGUAACGGCUCACCAAGGCAACGAUACAUAUCCGACCUGAGAGGGUGAUCGGCCACACUGGGACUGAGACACGGCCCAGACUCCUACGGGAGGCAGCAGUAGGGAAUCUUCCGCAAUGGACGAAAGUCUGACGGAGCAAUGCCGCGUGAGUGAAGAAGGUUUUCGGAUCGUAAAACUCUGUUGUAAGGGAAGAACAAGUACGUUAGUAACUGAACGUACCUUGACGGUACCUUACCAGAAAGCCACGGCUAACUACGUG